CCCCUAGAUGUUCUGGGCCGCACGCGCGCUACACUGAACAGUUCAACAAGUCUUAACCUUGGCCGAUAGGUCUGGGUAAUCUUUGAACGCUGUUCGUGAUUGGGAUAGACCUUUGCAAUUAUGGGUCUUCAACGAGGAAUUCUUAGUAAACGCAAGUCAUCAGCUUGCAUUGAUUACGUCCCUGCCCUUUGUACACACCGCCCGUCGCACCUACCGAUUGAAUGGUCCGGUGAAAUCUCGGGACGGCGGCUUGGUCGCUUGCGUCCGACUGCUGAAACUUGAUUAAACCAUAUCAUUUAGAGGAAGGUGAAGUCGUAACA
rnacentral:rRNA from 1 species